UUUUAUCGUAUAAAUAUAAAUAAAAUGAAAUGAAUAAAACUGAAUCCAAAUUUUACAGAAACGGAUGAUUUACAAGAACAAUCCCAAAAGAACGAAGAUACACAGCAUAGAUCCAACGCCACAGAACGCUUCUCGGCUCCGAUUCGCAGCCGAUGUCUUAGGGCGGCCAAUUAGCACAGGUCGCAUCCGCAUCCUCCUUUUGAUAUGAACGUUGAACUUCUUCUCUGCAACUUGACGAUGAUCCGCCGUCGUCUGUACGAUGUUCCGGCGAAGCAUUCCGACAAGAGAAGUGGAAGCCCCGCGGUGAACGGCGGCGGAAGUUGGAAGGGAUUCGAAGAACAAGAGAAGAGCGAUAAGAGCAAUGGAAAGUAGGGCUUUAAUCGCUGCCAUUAAUUUUAUUCGAGUAUUGUUUGAGAGAGGGAAGAGAAUCGAAGAAACGAGUAAUUGUAUGCACUUAUAUAGAAAUGCUUGGGACGAUCAAAGACGAGUACCGAAUUUCCGCCGGAAUUGACCAUGGAUCCCGACGGCUAUAGCAGGUCCCCAUAGAUAGGAGUACGAUCGCAAGAAUGAAACUCAAAAGAAUUGACGGGGACCUGCACAAGCAGUGGAGCAUGUAGUUUUAAUUCAAUGCAAAGGGAAGAACCUUACCGGGGCUUGACAUGCCACAAAUCCUCUUGAAAGAGAGGGGUGUCUUCAGGGACACGGACACAGGUGGUGCAUGAUUGUCGUCAGCUCAUGCCGUAAGGUGUUAGGUUAAGUCCCGCAACAAGUGUAACCCUUGUGUUUAGUUGCCAACCGUUAAGAUUGGAACCCUGAGUAGACGGCCGGUAUCUUUACUUAUUCUGUAAGCAUUUUUUUUUUUGGACAACUGGAAUUUGGAGUGGCUGACAGGUUAAUAUUUAAGGUUCUUAUGCCCAUUCAAAAUUC